AGUCGAGAACAGAAAUCAGUUCUAGAGAGCUAGAAUAAGAAGUUUGUGCCUUUCCGUCAGCAGGCUCUUUGCCUUGCUGACGGAGAAAAUUGUUGAUAAUAGUUUAACGGAGAAAAUUGUUGAUAGUAGUUCAAUGAAGAAAAUUAGUUGUUUGUAUUUAGUACAGUUUCUUUAAGUUUUUGUUCCAGAGCCGAAGUAGGCUUAAGUGGCUGCUGUGGUCGUAGGGAAUGUAAAUAUUCUCGACCGUAUUUUGUGUUCCUAGUGAUGGAUUAAACACAUCCUUUAGUUUUCUUUUGUCGAAAAGUUCUUUUCAUUUCUUUCAAUCAAGUUUAAUUAAUAAUAACAAUAAUAAUAAUAUAGUAUACCAGUGAUACAUACAAUAAACGAACAAUGGAAUUUCAUCUCUAAUAUAAUUAAUACCUAUACUUUGUCUGUAAAAUUGAGUGCCGUUAUGUGCGUGACAAAAAAAUGUGUCAUAACAUCAGGACAAUGUUUAACACCGUAACUGCCGCAUGAUGGAUGGACUAUGGAUAAAGAACGCAUCAAGGUACUUGCGCUAUUUUUUUAUUGUUGAACUCUUACGUUUUCUCACGAAUUGAUGAAACUUUAUUUUUUUUGAUAACAACCUUGCUGAAUUUUUAUUUGUUUCAAUAAAGUAAGAAUUAUGUUUAAA
rnacentral:lncRNA from 1 species